GGCAAUGCUGGCCGUAUCUCACCAAAAAUUGGAAAAGCUCUAGGAAGUACACCAGAUGCAUCUUCAGAGGAAGCUCUGAAUACUGAAGACAGAACAAUAUACACUGGAAACACAGCUAUGUCAACUUCUACAACUGUGGUUGACAAUCGUGCAUGCAACUUAUCAUCUAUCUGCCAAGACUCAG